CUGAUAACUGGUCUCUUUCCUCUCUCUCUCUCUCUCCUGUGCGGCAGUCUCUGACGAUUUUCGCCGAUCGUAUCUCCGUAGCGAAUUAGGGCUUCAGAAUCAUGGCGAUCACUUGGUUUCUCUUCUUCCUCCUGAAGCCACGCUCGCAGUCUUCGAUAAUCCCGUUAAUCGUUAUGCGGUCCCAUGUUUAGUCCAGGGGUAUCACUUCUUUCGCUUCCUCAGGCUAUGGGAUCGGUGGAGGAUGAUUUCGAAGAGCUUUACGCUGACCUUGAUGACCAAGUGAACGCCGGCAUCGCCAUAGCCCAGGGAUCGUGCUCGGGAAAGGAGUUUGAUUCUAUCAGUGAGGGGUCGGGUGAGAGGCCAGCGAGUUGUGAUGAUGCCGGGGAUUUAGUUGUGGCAGUCGAGAGCGAGAGCGAAGAUGACCUACAUAUAGUCCUUAACGAAGAAAACUGCUCACGUAUGAUGGCUUUGGAGAGACGAAACAGUGGAUUGGGAGCGGGGUGGUGCCGAGAAGAAGAGGACGAGGACGAGGACGAGGACGGGGAUUUGGUGAUCCUUACUGAGUUCAGCCAACAUCGGAAAAAUAACCUUACGCGAGUUGAAAAGUUGCCCAUCACGGAUGGGCUGGCGCAUGGAAGUGCUACUAGAAGUGCGAGUCAGUGUGUAAGAUCACAAAUAGGAGGAUUUCCAACCAAAUCAAUAACUUCAGUCUCACAGAAUGGUGCCUGUGAUCAGCUUACCAUACCCCUUGGUGUUUCUGCAUCCUGCAAUUCAUGUAUCUUGUCAACAUCUCAUAAUAGACAUCUUUUCUGGCCUAGAAAAAGGACAAUUUUUGACAUCAAUAUUGAAGCACUUGAGCAAAAGCCUUGGAGGCAGCCGAGGGUAGAUAUAACUGAUUACUUCAAUUUUGACCUAAAUGAAGAAAGCUGGAGAAGCUACUGCAGGGAAUUGGAUCAGUUUAGGCAGCAGCAAGCUGAAAUGUCUGAACCAUUUACUGUUAAUGAAUCAUCUAGGUCAAAUCAGUUUGUGCAGAUGCCAACUAAUGAUAGUUACGAGUGUGAAUAUGUUCAUCACAUAAACAGAGUAAAGGCUUCUGUUUCCAAUGGCAAUCUUGAUCACAAACUAAGAUGGCUUGACAUGAAAAAGGGUAGAGCAAUACAGGUGGAACAUGGUAUUGGCGAGCGUGUACCUUCGAUAGAUAUAAAGCAACCAAGACAUAGGGACUCCGAUGUAGUUAUACAAGUGGCUAUGAAGGAUUUUGAGGAUUGUCCAGCAGAAGAAUCAGGACAUGUUGAAAAGGGAGAUAGACGUUUCUUAGGAUAUGUGCAUGGGCUACAUGAAAGUGCGAAUUGUGAAAAUAUGGGUGUGCAAGCAUCUAGCACCGUCAUGCCCUCUUUGAAAACUUCAAAAACAAAUUCUAAAGGCAUCUCUGGGGCAGUUGAUGCCGGAAUUCCUUCAAAUUCAGAUGUGUGUAUACAGAGAGCAAUAUCUCGUUCUCAAGAUAGUAACAUAAGUUCUUCAGACUGUCUUUCUGAAUCUUCUAAAUAUCCAGGCUGUUCAAAGAAGAUUCUUAAUAUUGUGAAACAGGAAUCAACGAACUCAGUUGCUAGACUCCAAGAAUCAAAUAUGUCUGACAGUUAUUACUCCAAUAGUUAUGAAACCGACCACACAAAGUCAAGGAACAAAGAUUUGAAGCUUGACAGAGUUGACCUUGGCCUCUCCCCUGAGAUUUACAGAGAUCAUAAUCAAAAGACAAUUCACAGCACGGUUGAGUUGGUUACUCCUGCAGUUCAUGAAGAAGCUUCUACCGUGUUCUACAACUCAAGCAAGAAUAGUAUUGACAAAUUUGAAGUGGGUUUUAGAAGUGAAGGGAAACAAGGUUACAAUACUGAUGCUGGCAAACAUUUAGAUAUUGAACCUCGGCAUAGAAGAUCCAGAAAUUACAAAAACCCAGAACAUUCUGUUGACAAUUCGAGUAGAAAAGCUUCCAGUGAAGUAUCCCUCAGGAAGGCUAAUUAUGAUGAAACUACCAAGAGUAGAAAAGCUUCCACUGAAGUAUCCCUCAGGAAGGCUAAUUAUGAUGAAACUAACAAGAGAAACUUGUCAGAAAGGGAUUGUUCUCAUCCAAAAAGAGUUCCACCAAAGGAUAAUAGAACAUAUUCUACAAACUUCCUUUUUUCUGAGGGAUAUGAUGGAAGAGUGUUAAUAAAUGAUCCUUGUGAGGAUUCUGAUGAAUUAAUUUCAGAAUCUGAUUCAUUCAUCUUGGAAAAAUUGCCAUAUCUGGGGCAUCAGAAGAGAAAAUCAGAUCGACAAAUUAUGUUCAAAGAUGGAUGCAAGGCAAAUGCAAGAUAUAGAAAACAUAUAGCUUCAUCAAGUGAGGAUGAAGAAUUGUUCAGUGGCAAAUCUUCUAGGCAUGCACUGCAAAAUUCUGGAGGAUUAAGCAACUUAAAAAGGCGCAGUAGGAUUAAUGAAAGUCAUGCUAUGGAAAUGAAUUGGUAUACUGAGCAUUAUGUGACAAGAGAAAAAAGAGGUCUUUAUGGUGCCAAUACCAAAAGAAAUAAGUUUUCUGUAACCUUAAAAUCAAGUGGACAGUGUGUUGAUGAUAAGCAAUCUCUUCCCAUCAGGAACAAAAAAUCUAGGAAAAAUAAAUAUGACAGCAGUUCGAGAAGUAUCAACUGUCAAGGUUAUUCAUAUGUUGAAGGAAAUGUUGCUCUUUGCCCUAUGCUUAGAAGAGAUGAUGGGGAUUCAUUUUCUAAUGAGAAUAUAAAAUUCUCUGGUACAAGUGCAAUGUCAGGGCUACAACACCUUGUUGAUGGUGAAAUUUAUCUUAGGCAUCAAAAGCAGGCCCGCUUGACCAUGGAGAAAGAAUCCCCCAACUUUGUAAAGAAUUCAAGGAUGGAUAAAAUUCAAGUAAACCAUCAUGUUGUUGGUUACAAUCACUCUGAAGAUCAUGUACAUUUUAGUGGUAGGAAGAAAGUAAUCACUGAAGAAUACACCAAACCUGAGUCUACGAGAGGUGGUAGAUCUUUGUUGGAGAAUUUUGAUAAGGAGAGGCAUGACUUGGGCACUUUAGAGCAUAGGGAGCCUAUUAAUUUGCGUGUGAAUGGUGUGAAAAGAAAGUUCCAUGGAAAUGACAAUCCAGAUAAAAUGGUAACCAAGAGGCGUAGUGGUGCAAAACGUCAAAGAAGAAGAAAGUUGAAGAACUCCAUAGGCAUCCGUCAUCAAGAGAUUGCUCAGUCAAAACUUGAAAGAAAGCAUCAACGGUUAGAUGGAUUCAAGUCGGUUAUCAGCAUAGGCAAUGGAACACUAGCUGGCCAAGAUCAUGAAGAUGAUGAAAUUGAAGAGGGCCAGCUGAUUGAAGAAAGUGAUGAUGAUCAUGUAGCUGGCCUGUUACCGAGUGAUCUAAUUCCAAUGAAACGCAUGGACUUCCCUGUGGUUAAGCCUUACUUGCAGGCUCAGUUAGAAGUGAAAAAAGUACAAACCAAAGAGACGGCUACGAAUGCCAACAACUUUGGGGGAUGCUGCAACAAUCGCAUACUGGAGGCACUAACAAAGAUGGAAAAACGUAGGGAGAGGUUCAAAGAACCAAUUGCUCCUAAACAAGUAGAGGAGAAAAAUCUUCCGAUUGAUACUACUCCAGCUUCAACAGAGGUUAAGGAACAAAGACCUGCUAGAAAACGUCGAUGGGGAACUUCUAGCUAGCUGUGCUUUCAUUCAGCGGGUAAAGAGUUUGGACCCUAUUUUGCGAAGUUAUAUAGAAUUCAAUGCAUAUUAUUAUUACAACAAAAGAAUGACCAGAGGAUUCGGAAACAAAAUGGUCUGCAUCAAACUUCAUUGAAGGAUCUAUUUUCUGAUUUUUUUCAUGGCAUCAUCAAGUUUUAGCAACAUCAACAAUACGAGAUUUCAACCUGUAACAUGUAGGAACUGCGGACGAAAUGCAUUGAUGUAUAUUUCUAGAUCAACCAAGAAUUCUAGGAGACAGUAUUACAGAUGUGUGCAACAUGGAUGGUAACAGUGGGUGCCGAUCGAUAAUAGUUCAGCUGACAAAAGUGAAAUUGAAUAUAUUGCUGCUCAUGGACAAAAUCUGAGGAUAAUUAAUGUACUGAAAUUCAUCUGGAUAUUGGUGGGCUUGAACUUGAUUCUCUUAGUCAUAAUUCUGAUUUUGGUAUUAGUUUAUCUGAAUAAGUUGUUUUAAAUAGUGUUGGUGUUGUAAUGUAAGUGUUGUAAGUUUGGAUUUGGAUGCACCCUUCAUUUUAGUUCAUCUAGUUAAUUACGUUUGAUACGGUUGAAUAAUGUUGGUGUUGAAAUUGUGGUAGGAUAAGGAAUUAGUGUCA